rnacentral:rRNA from 1 species
GUGAGGAAUAUUGGUCAAUGGACGGAAGUCUGAACCAGCCAAGUAGCGUGCAGGAUGACGGCCCUAUGGGUUGUAAACUGCUUUUAUGCGGGGGUAAAGUGAGUGACGUGUCAUUCAUUGCAAGUACCGCAAGAAUAAGGACCGGCUAAUUCCGUGCCAGCAGCCGCGGUAAUACGGAAGGUCCUGGUGUUAUCCGGAUUUAUUGGGUUUAAAGGGAGCGUAGGCCGUCAGGCAAGCGUGUUGUGAAAUGUCGUGGCGCAACCAUGGACUUGCAGCGCAAACUGCCCGACUUGAGUGCGCGGAAAGCAGGCGGAAUUUGUGGUGUAGCGGUGAAAUGCUUAGAUAUCACGAAGAACCCCGAUUGCGAAGGCAGCCUGCUGUAGCGCUACUGACGCUGAAGCUCGAAAGUGCGGGUAUCGAACAGGAUUAGAUACCCGAGUAGUCC